AUUGAACGCUGGCGGCAGGCUUAACACAUGCAAGUCGAACGAGUGGCGGACGGGUGAGUAAUGCUUGGGAAUCUGGCUUAUGGAGGGGGAUAACUACUGGCAACUGUCGCUAAUCCCGCGUACCAUAAGAUGAGCCCAAGUGGGAUUAGGUAGUUGGUGGGGUAAUGGCCUACCAAGCUGACGAGCUCUAGCUGGUCUGAGAGGAUGACCAGCCACACGGGAACGGAUAGACGGCCCGGACUCCUACGUGAGGCAGCAGUGGGGAAGAUUGCGAAAUGGGGGCAACCCUGACGCAGCCAUGCCGCGUGUAUGAAGAAGGCCUUCGGGUUGUAAAGUGCUUUCGGCAGUGAGGCGUUAACUACAGAAGAAGCACCGGCUAACUCCGUGCCAGCAGCCGCGGUAAUUC
rnacentral:rRNA from 1 species